AAAUAAGUUGAAAGUGAUUUCGUUAUCGCAUUCUAAACACAAACAUCGGGGCAUCGGACGCCAAGCCAAGUUAUCUGAGACCCUUACGUAGUCGGCACUCGGCUCGGGCGGUUGUCGAACGACGAUAUCGAAACGUGUUUAGCGUCAAGGAGAAAUAAAAACCUCCGACCGAGGAAGUGUUCAGUGGCCC